rnacentral:misc_RNA from 1 species
GUGAAUCAUCGAAUUUUUGAACGCAAAUUGCACUCUCUUCGGAGAGUAUGCCUGUUUGAGGGUCAGCCUAAAAAAAAUCGACAUAGCCGCUGUUUCGCGGUUACAUUCGUCGGAAAUUGGGUCAUCUUAAACUUUUUGUUUUUAAGCGGCUUAAAAUUUUCUUUACGUUUCUACGAACUUUUCUAAUAUUUACUUACACUUUUAAGUUAUCUAUUUUUUUUAGACGUGUCCUUUUCAUCGGUUCACGUCCUUAAUUUUUUCUUU